rnacentral:tRNA from 1 species
GGGCCGCUAGCUCAAUUGGCAGAGCAGCUGACUCUUAAUCAGCGGGUUAUAGGUUCAAGUCCUAUGCGGCUCA